rnacentral:rRNA from 1 species
UUACGGGAGGCAGCAGUGGGGAAUAUUGCGCAAUGGGCGAAAGCCUGACGCAGCAACGCCGCGUGGGGGAUGAAGGUUCUCGGAUUGUAAACCCCUUUCGAUCGGAACGAAUCUCCUCCUGGUAAAUAAUCAGGAGGAUCGACGGUACCGAGAGAAGAAGCCACGGCUAACUCUGUGCCAGCAGCCGCGGUAAGACAGAGGUGGCGAGCGUUGUUCGGAUUUAUUGGGCGUAAAGCGAACGCAGGCGGUUUGGUAAGUCAGAGGUGAAAGCCCACAGCUUAACUGUGGGACUGCCUUUGAUACUGCCUUUCUUGAGUGCAUGAGGGGGAAGCGGAAUUCCGAGUGUAGAGGUGAAAUUCGUAGAUAUUCGGAGGAACACCGGUGGCGAAGGCGGCUUCCUGGCAUGUAACUGACGCUCAUGUUCGAAAGCGUGGGUAGCAAACAGGCUUAGAUACCCUGGUAGA